GCAGAAGAGAAUGAAUAAUACGUACGUGUGAUCUGAGGAUCAUAACAUAUUUAUAUAGCGACGCCCUUUGACCUAAUUCGACCCAUCAUAGAAUUAGUACUUGGGCCCGAUCUCUACACAUAUGUAAACUCAUACUUUAAUGGGCAAAUUAGGCCCACUACUUUAAAAACAAAACAAAUUAGAUUAGUACCCUAAAAUAAAAUAAAACCUCACAGAAUCGUAUGUAAUACGUUAAUACGAUUUCUUCAGCAGCCUGGCAACUUCUUCUUCAAUCAUCUGCAGCGGCACAUCCUCCAUUCCCACACCAUUGUCAAGGACCUCAUCAAUGCCGACCAUGUGGACGAGGUGUCUAUUGUCGACAAUGCCACAACUACCGCAACCAUUGUCCUUCAGAACGUUGGCUGGGCCUUCGCUGACGGCCACUUCCAGAAGGGUGAUGCAGUUGUCAUGCUCCACUGUGCCUUCCAAAUCCAGGCAGUCAAGAAGUCUAUUGAGGCUUAUGUUACUCACGCAGAGGGGUCUGUCAUUGUGGUUCACUUGCCGUUUCCUAUGAAUUCCAAUGAAGAAAUCAUUGUUGAGUUUCGGAAAGGGUUGGCCAGAGGCCAAUGGUAAGAAAGUAGGCUAGCCAUAAUUGAUUAUAUAACAUCCAUGCCCUGUGAUUCUUGCUUGUGAGUUGGUUAAGAUUUGUAGAGAAGAAGGUGUGGAGCGCAUGUUUGUAGAUGCGGCUCAUGCUAUUGGUAGUGUUCAUGUAGAUGUUAAGGAAAUUGGGGCUGACAUCUGUGUGAGUAAUUUGCAUAAAUGAUUUUUUUGUCCACCUUA
rnacentral:lncRNA from 1 species